GAUGAAGAACGUAGUGAAAUGCGAUAAGUAAUGUGAAUUGCAGAAUUCAGUGAAUCAUCGAAUCUUUGAACGCACCUUGCGCCCUUUGGACAUUCCGAAGGGCAUGCCUGUUUGAGUAUCAUGAACACCUCAACUCUCACGGCUUGUCCGUGAUGAGCCUGGACUUUGGGGGUCUUGCCGGCCUGUGGUCGGCUCCUCUCAAAUGGAUCAGCUUGCCAGUGUUUGGUGGCAUCACAGGUGUGAUAACUAUCUGCGCUUGUGGUUUUCCAUCAGAUAACCUUCAGUGAUAUGGAGGUUCGCUGGAGCUCACAAAUGUCUCUCCUUAGUGAGGACAGCUCUUUGAACGUUUGAUCUCAAAUCAGGUAGGACUACCCGCUGAACUUAAGCAUAUCAAUAAGCGGAGGA
rnacentral:misc_RNA from 1 species